AGGGAUUAGAUACCCUGUAGUCUGGCCGUAAACGAUGAACACUAGUGUCGAGGGAAUCGACCCCUUCGGUGUCGUAGCUAACGCGUUAAGUGUUCCGCCUGGGAGUACGCACGCAAGUGUGAAACUCAAAGGAAUUGACGGGGGCCCGCACAAGCGGUGGAGUAUGUGGUUAAUUCGAUGCAACGCGAAGAACCCUUAUCAGGGUUUGACAUCCUGCGAACCUCUUAGAAAUUUGAGAGUGCCUUCGGGAAUGCAGUGACAGGUGGUGCAUGGCUGUCGUCAGCUCGUGUCGUGAGAUGUUGGGUUAAGUCCCGCAACGAGCGCAACCCUUGUUUUUAGUUAUUUUUCUAGAAAGACU
rnacentral:rRNA from 1 species